GCUUCCAGCGCUGGCGGCCCAGGCGCAUGAGCACCUGUGGGCACGGCCCAAGAAGGGAUAGGCCAGCUGCCCCAGGCCCUCUUUUAAGCUUACAUCACCCUGCCUGACCCGGGAGGAUUUUCCACAAGGUCAGAGAUUCACUAGAGAGAGAAAGCAAGACUCGGGACAGUGGGAAGCUCCACGGGGGCAGGGAUUUCUGUGUGUUGCUCACUCCCACACCCUGUGCCUAGCGCUUCAUAAGCCCUCAAUCAAAAGAUCUGGAGUGAGUGACUGAAUCUUCCCAUCCUGGCCUCUGCCCAGCUACCCAGUCCAGCUCUCCUUCACUCAGACCCAGCCACCCUGGCCACCUGUCCUACACGCUCCUACCUCGGGGCCUUUGCCUGUGCUCUUCCCUCUGCCUGGGACACUUAUCUCCCAGAGGCAAGCACGACCAGCCAGAUCUCCUCGGGGAGUCUCCCCGGUCACCCUGUGUGAUGGGCUUCCGGGCGCUGCCCCGCCGUCACCUUCACUGCACUAAGGCCGGUGGGAGUUACGUUAUUGACCGUGUCACUCCCUCAGCGCUGUCUCCCCUCCACGCCAUAAGCGCCAUGAGACCAGGGUCCUCCGGCAGCCUGCACUGUGUCCCUAGCGCCCAAGGACAGGCCUGAGCGUGGGGCUGCCCCCAGGACAUGCUUGUGGGCGAAAUGAAUAAGCAGGAGCUAGCUCCCCGUGGGGCCUCUCACAGACGACACCCAGCCACGGUCUUCAGGGACGGGCCGAGAGGAGAAGCAGGCCGGAACGGAGGACGAGCA